rnacentral:lncRNA from 1 species
CUCUUAUCUCAAUAUCUAAAAAUCAAGUAGUUAUCUUUUUCUCUUCCAGUUUGACGAUUUCUUCUUCAUUCUCACCGCCGGAGAAUAAAAAUCAUGGUGACUCCACGCUGUAUUCUUCUACAAGUAAAGAUCAGACAAAUCUUAACUACGUUACCUUAUUUUAUAGAUUGAUCUAGACCCCUUUCCUUUUUUUUGUUAUAGUGAAAUAGCAAAAGCCGUCGUCUCCUCCAAUUCGACGGAAACACAAUCCGCCGUCAAUUUUUCACCGGUAUUAAUUUCAACUGCCGUUAAUUUCUCAAAAACCACAACGAAUGGUAUGACCUAUCUUCUCUGAUUAUUCGUUGAUAAUCUCCUCAACCCGUGAUUAAAGCGUUAGUUGACACCUAAAUCUUCCUAUGUGUUGCAAAAACCUCCAACAGAAAGUCACCUCUUCACAUUCUCCUAUCCACGAUUACCCAAUCACGUCUCCCCCAACCAUGCCUCGACCAGCCACUACUUUCCCAACCACAUUUCACACAGCCACAGUUCACCCACACGCUAGACGCCUACUCUGGUUUCAACCCCUUCACCCAACCACAUGUUUUCUGUCCACACUACCAUCAACCAUACUUCAUCCCACCACGAUUCACCAGACCACCUUCCAACGCACCAAGCUCCACCAGCCAAAAUAAGACCAAUCCAGCCUUACCACACGUUUCAUGAACAAUGUUUUUCCACAACAAGGAAAGAUAUACACAUUUAUGUCUUCUCUUUUUAGUAGAUUUGUACUUGCUUUAACAUUAGUCAUCCGAUUUGUUUUUACAUCCUUUAAUCUAACGGUCCAAAAAAAAUCUCACUGUUGAAUAAAUCCACCAAUUAAUUGUAACAGAAAGAGACAAACUAUUAUUUACUUUUUGUGUAACCAGAUUUUAAGUCUCGCUAUAACUAGUUUGCGAUAAGGGCAAUUACAGAAGAGAAAAAACAAAAGCAAGUCAACAAGUACCCCUCAAGUGUAAAGUGUGUAAAUAUGUUAAAGGCCCAAGACAAAGUAAACUUAAAAUCCCACUGCUUUUUUCUAAGGGUCUGACUGGUUCAAACGCAGCGGUUGCGGUUGCGGUUGCGGGAAUUUGUGGAUGCGGGCGGUUGCGGUUUCUAGCGGUUUUAACAGAUUUGUACGACUGGUAUUGCGGUUAAAAAUUGGUGCGUUUGCGGGUAACUUAUGAAUGGUUAACUACCAAAUGCGGUAACA